rnacentral:rRNA from 1 species
ACAAGUACCGUGAGGGAAAGUUGAAAAGUACUUUGAAGAGAGAGUAAACAGUGCGUGAAACCGCUCAGAGGUAAACGGGUGGAGUUGAACUGCAAUCUCUGUGGAUUCAGCUGGUGAGUAUGGUUUGGGCUUGGCCAAAUGGGUUGAGCUGCGGGGUCUGCUUAUUCGCAGGUCUUUGUCUUCGGGCAGGGAUGCACGAUGCACCUACCAUGUGCUGUGCGCCUCGUGGUUUCGAAUCUGCUCGCUAGUGCACUUUCGCAGGGUGUUCACCACGACCGGCAUUGCUGUCUGGCUAUUGUGGUUAAACCGGUCUUGCAUUGUCCUUGUGGCUUUGCUUGGUCGGGACGGCAGGUAGCUCGUUGGUUGUUCGUAGCUUGCUGCGUUCGGCCUCGGGUGUAAUCAGCUGACUUCAAUGGUUCUGUGCAGUAUGUCGGGGACGGCGGCUUGUUGUGUGUGCGUGCGUGCCGGUCUCAUGGGCGUGCUCGGGUAUGACUGUCAUGUUGCUUGCGUAAGCAGGCCUGGUGGUUGCUCGGGUUUGUUCUGUGGGUGGUUGCGUGCGUGGCACUAUACAGGGCCAAUAGUCUGUGGUGUAGUGGUAGACGAUCCACCCGACCCGUCUUGAAACACGGACCAAGGAGAGUAACAUGUGCGCGAGUCAUUGGGCGAAACGAAACCCAAAGGCGCAGUGAAAGUAAAGGCUUGGCUUUGUCCUUGCUGAGGUGAGAUCCUGUCGUUUCUCAUGCGUGGUACUACCAAGCAUCGAGCGGUGGGCGCAUCACCGGCCCGUCUCAUGACGUAGACACAUAGUCUUCGGACCAGUGCACCGUCGGGGCGGAGCAUGAGCGUACAUGUUGAGACCCGAAAGAUGGUGAACUAUGCUUGCGCAGGUUGAAGCCAGAGGAAACUCUGGUGGAGGACCGCAGCGAUUCUGACGUGCAAAUCGAUCGUCAAACGUGAGUAUAGGGGCGAAAGACUA